GCACUUGUAGCUCAAUUGGAUAGAGCACUUGGCUUCGGACCAAGGGGUUGUGGGUUCGAGUCCUACCGGGUGCA
rnacentral:tRNA from 1 species